CAGAUGGACUAAUAUAACCAGCUAGAGACAGUCAGGUUGGACAGGUGACUAAUAUAACCAGCUAGAGACAGUAAAAGACAGGCAGUCAGGUUGGACAGGUGACUAAUAUAACCAGCUAGAGACAGUAAAAGACAGGCAGUCAGGUUGGACAGAGGACUAAUAUAACCAGCUAGAGACAGUAAAAGACAGGCAGUCAGGUUGGAGAGAUGACUAAUAUAACCAGCUAGAGACAGUAAAAGACAGGCAGUCAGGUUGGACAGAGGACUAAUAUAAACAGCUAGAGACAGUCAGGUUGAACAGAGGACUAAUACAACCAGCUAGAGACAGUAAAAGACAGGCAGUCAGGUUGGACAGGUGACUAAUAUAACCAGCUAGAGACAGUAAAAGACAGGCAGUCAGGUUGGAGAGAUGACUAAUAUAACCAGCUAGAGACAGUUAGGUUGGACAGAUGACUAAUAUAACCAGCUAGAGACAGUCAGGUUGGACAGGUGACUAAUAUAAACAGCUAGAGACAGUAAAAGACAUGCAGUCAGGUUGGACAGGUGACUAAUAUAACCAGCUAGAGACAGUAAUAGACAGGCAGUCAGGUUGGACAGGUGACUGAUAUAACCAGCUAGAGACAGUCAGGUUGGACAGGUGACUAAUAUAACCAGCUAGAGACAGUAAGGUUGGACAGAGGACUAAUAUAACCAGCUAGAGACAGUAAAAGACAGGCAGUCAGGUUGGAGAGAUGACUAAUAUAACCAGCUAGAGACAGUUAGGUUGGACAGAUGACUAAUAUAACCAGCUAGAGACAGUCAGGUUGGACAGGUGACUAAUAUAACCAGCUAGAGACAGUAAUAGACAGGCAGUCAGGUUGGACAGGUGACUGAUAUAACCAGCUAGAGACACUCAGGUUGGACAGGUGACUAAUAUAACCAGCUAGAGACAGUAAGGUUGGACAGAGGACUAAUAUCACCAGCUAGAGACAGUAAUAGACAGGCAGUCAGGUUGGACAGGUGACUGAUAUAACCAGCUAGAGACAGUAAAAGACAGGCAGUCAGGUUGGACAGAUGACUAAUAUAACCAGCUCGAGACAGUCAGGUUGGACAGAUUGCUAAUAUAACCAGCUAGAGACAGUCAGGUAGGGCAGGUGACUAAUAUAACCAGCGAGAGACUGUAAGGUUGGACAGGUGACUAUUAUAACCAGCUAGAGACAGUCAGGUUGGACAGGUGACUAAUAUAACCAGCUAGAGACAGUAAGGUUGGACCGAGGACUAAUAUAACCAGCUAGAGACAGUAAAAGACAGGCAGUCAGGUUGGACAGGUGACUAAUAUAACCAGCUAGAGACAGUAAAAGACAGGCAGUCAGGUUGGACAGGUGACUAAUAUAACCAGCUAGAGACAGUCAGGUUGGACAGAUGACUAAUAUAACCAGCUAGAGACAGUCAGGUUGGACAGGUGACUAAUAUAACCAGCUAGAGACAGUCAGGUUGGACAGACGACUAAUAUAACCAGCUAGAGACAUUCAGGUUGGACAGAGGACUAAUAUCACCAGCUAGAGACAGUCAGGUUGGACAGGUGACUAAUAUAACCAGCUAGAGACAGUCAGGUUGGACAGACGACUCAUAUAACCCGCUAGAGACAGUCAGGUUGGACAGGUGACUAAUAUAACCAGCUAGAGACAGUCAGGUUGGACAGGUGACUAAUAUAACCAGCUAGAGACAGUCAGGUUGGACAGGUGACUAAUAUAACCAGCUAGAGACAGUCAGGUUGGACAGAGGACUAAUAUAACCAGCUAGAGACAGUCAGGUUGGACAGAUGACUAAUAUCACCAACUAGAGACAGUCAGGUUGGACAGAUGACUAAUAUAACCAACUAGAGACAGUCAGGUUGGACAGACGACUAAUAUAACCAGCUAGAGACAGUCAGGUUGGACAGAUGGCUAAUAUAACCAGCUAGAGACAGUCAGGUUGGACAGAGGACUAAUAUAACCAGCUAGGGACAGUAAAAGACAGGCAGUCAGGUUGGACAGGUGACUAAUACAACCAGCUAGAGACAGUCAGGUUGGACAGAGGACUAAUAUAACCAACUAGAGACAGUCAGGUUGGACAGACGACUAAUAUAACCAGCUAGAGACAGUCAGGUUGGACAGAUGGCUAAUAUAACCAGCUAGAGACAGUCAGGUUGGACAGAGGACUAAUAUAACCAGCUAGGGACAGUAAAAGACAGGCAGUCAGGUUGGACAGGUGACUAAUACAACCAGCUAGAGACAGUCAGGUUGGACAGAGGACUAAUAUAACCAACUAGAGACAGUAAGGUUGGACAGACGACUAAUAUAACCAGCCAGAGACAGUCAGGUUGGACAGUAGACUAAUAUAACCAGCUAGAGACAGUAAGGUUGGACACAUGGCUAAUAUAACCAGCUAGAGACAGUCAGGUUGGACAGAGGACUAAUAUAACCAGCUAGAGACAGUCAGGUUGGACAGUAGACUAAUAUAACCAGCUAGAGACAGUCAGGUUGGACAGAGGACUAAUAUAACCAGCUAGAGACAGUCAGGUUGGACAGAGGACUAAUACAACCAGCGAGAGACAGUCAGGUUGGACAGAGGACUAAUAUAACCAGCUAGAGACAGUCAGGUUGGACAGACGACUAAUAUAACCAGCUAGGGACAGUAAAAGACAGGCAGUCAGGUUGGACAGGUGACUAAUACAACCAGCUAGAGACAGUCAGGUUGGACAGAGGACUAAUAUAACCAGCUAGAGACAGUCAGGUUGGACAGACGACUAAUAUAACCAGCUAGGGACAGUAAAAGACAGGCAGUCAGGUUGGACAGAGGACUAAUAUAACCAGCUAGAGACAGUCAGGUUGGACAGAGGACUAAUACAACCAGCUAGAGACAGUCAGGUUGGACAGACGACUAAUAUAACCAGCUAGAGACAGUCAGGUUGGACAGAGGACUAAUAUAACCAGCUAGAGACAGUCAGGUUGGACAGGUGACUAAUACAACCAGCCAGAGACAGUAAAAAGUCAUCAGUAAUCCACGAGCCAGUCAGGUUGGACAGAGGACUAAUACAACCAGCCAGAGACAGUAAAAAGUCAUCAGUAAUCCACGAGCCAGUCAGGUUGGACAGAGGACUAAUACAACCAGCCAGAGACAGUAAAAAGUCAUCAGUAAUCCACGAGCCAGUCAGGUUGGACAGAGGACUAAUACAACCAGCCAGAGACAGUAAAAAGUCAUCAGUAAUCCACGAGCCAGUCAGG